AGUAAAGUAAGCUAAUAACAAGCUUUUGGGUUCAUACCCCAUGAAUGGAAGGAUAGAUACCUCUCUUUAUUU
rnacentral:tRNA from 1 species